GGAAGGAUGGGUGAGCUGGUUUAAACCAACAGUUUGCUAAACUGUCGUACGCUAUAAUGGUGUACCGAGGGUUCGAAUCCCUCUCCUUCCGCCA
rnacentral:tRNA from 1 species